UACAGAGGGUGCAAACGUUGAUCGGAAUCACAGGCCGUAAAGCGCGUGAGGGCGGACAGGAAAGUCGGGUGUGAAAUCCCUGGGCUCAACCCAGGAACUGCCUCCGAAACUACCAGCCUAGAGUGUCGGAGAUGGAAGUGGAAUUCUUGGUGUAGAGGUGAAAUUCGUAGAUAUCAAGAGGAACACCGGUGGCGAAGGCGGCUUACUGGACGAUAACUGACGCUGAGACGCGAAAGCGUGGGGAGCAAACAGG
rnacentral:rRNA from 1 species